rnacentral:rRNA from 1 species
UGCCAGCAGCCGCGGUAAUACGGAGGGUGCGAGCGUUAAUCGGAAUUACUGGGCGUAAAGCGCGCGUAGGCGGUAAGUUAAGCGGGAUGUGAAAUCCCCGGGCUCAACCUGGGAACUGCAUUUCGAACUGGCUUGCUAGAGUACAGAAGAGGGUGGUGGAAUUUCCAGUGUAGCGGCGAGAUGCGUAGAGAUUGGAAGGAACAUCAGUGGCGAAGGCGACCACCUGGUCUGAUACUGACGCUGAGGUGCGAAAGCGUGGGGAGCAAACAGGAUUAGAUA